rnacentral:rRNA from 1 species
AUGCAGUCGAACGCCCCUUCGGGGGAGUGGCAGACGGGUGAGUAACGCGUGGGAAUCUACCCAGCUCUACGGAAUAACUGAGGGAAACUUCAGCUAAUACCGUAUACGUCCUUCGGGAGAAAGAUUUAUCGGAGUUGGAUGAGCCCGCGUUGGAUUAGCUAGUUGGUGGGGUAAUGGCCUACCAAGGCGACGAUCCAUAGCUGGUCUGAGAGGAUGAUCAGCCACACUGGGACUGAGACACGGCCCAGACUCCUACGGGAGGCAGCAGUGGGGAAUAUUGGACAAUGGGCGCAAGCCUGAUCCAGCCAUGCCGCGUGAGUGAUGAAGGCCCUAGGGUUGUAAAGCUCUUUCAACGGUGAAGAUAAUGACGGUAACCGUAGAAGAAGCCCCGGCUAACUUCGUGCCAGCAGCCGCGGUAAUACGAAGGGGGCUAGCGUUGUUCGGAAUUACUGGGCGUAAAGCGCGCGUAGGCGGAUUGAUCAGUCAGGGGUGAAAUCCCGGGGCUCAACCCCGGAACUGCCUUUGAUACUGUCAAUCUAGAGGUCGAGAGAGGUGAGUGGAAUUCCGAGUGUAGAGGUGAAAUUCGUAGAUAUUCGGAGGAACACCAGUGGCGAAGGCGGCUCACUGGCUCGAUACUGACGCUGAGGUGCGAAAGCGUGGGGAGCAA